CUCUUCCACUGAGCACCUAGCUCUGGGAACUUGGUAAAUCUGUAAGGAUUGGAUAGGUAUAAACAUGGUGAAUACUUCACCUAGCCUCAUCAGAGGACAAGGUGGAAGUGUUCUUUAUCAUAUUGCGUUGCCACUCCCGUCUAUCCAACACUUUCAGAUCUACUACAUUUGCCUAGGACCUAGGGAGGAGGGUAGUUGGGGCUAAAUGUUAGUUUGUUUGGCGUUGACGCUAUAUCAUUGGCUAGAACUGAAUGGGCUGAGGUGUAUUACCGGUACCUGAGCAGUAGAAAGAGACAUAUUUAAUAAGGUCAGACCACACUGUGGUCCCAGCUACACAGAGACAUCUUUAAUAAGGUCAGACCACACUGAGGUCCCAGCUACACAGAGACAUCUUUAAUAAGGUCAGACCACACUGAGGUCCCAGCUACACAGAGACAUCUUUAAUAAGGUUAGACCACACUGAGGUCCCAGCUACACAGAGACAUCUUUAAUAAGGUCAGACCACACUGAGGUCCCAGCUACACAGAGACAUCUUUAAUAAGGUCAGACCACACUGAGGUCCCAGCUACACAGAGACAUCUUUAAUAAGGUCAGACCACACUGAGGUCCCAGCUACACAGAGACAUCUUUAAUAAGGUCAGACCACACUGAGGUCCCAGCUACACAGAGACAUCUUUAAUAAGGUUAGACCACACUGAGGUCCCAGCUACACAGAGACAUCUUUAAUAAGGUCAGACCACACUGAGGUCCCAGCUACACAGAGACAUCUUUAAUAAGGUCAGACCACACUGAGGUCCCAGCUACACAGAGACAUCUUUAAUAAGGUCAGACCACACUGAGGUCCCAGCUACACAGAGACAUCUUUAAUAAGGUCAGACCACACUGAGGUCCCAGCUACACAGAGACAUCUUUAAUAAGGUUAGACCACACUGAGGUCCCAGCUACACAGAGACAUAUUUAAUAAGGUCAGACUACACUGAGGUCCCAGCUAAACAGAGACAUCUUUAAUAAGGUUAGACCACACUGAGGUCCCAGCUACACAGAGACAUCUUUAAUAAGGUCAGACCACACUGAGGUCCCAGCUACACAGAGACAUCUUUAAUAAGGUCAGACCACACUGAGGUCCCAGCUACAGAGACAUCUUUAAUAAGGUCAGACCACACUGAGGUCCCAGCUACAGAGACAUCUUUAAUAAGGUCAGACCACACUGAGGUCCCAGCUACAGAGACAUCUUUAAUAAGGUCAGACCACACUGUGGUCUCAGAGUAAAGGCACAAAGCUUCACCCAACAGGAUAUAAGCGACAAUAUCAUCAAUAUAGGUGUGACAGUAUUUGAGUGCGUCCAUAAAUGGCACCCUAUUCCCUAUAUAGCAUCCUACGUUUGACUGGCUCCUAUGACUGAGUAGUAUGCCCUUUACUUCUAACUGGGGGAAAAAAGUAGGGCCCUAUAUAGGGAAUGUGUUGAUAUUUAAGACACAAGCCUGUCAUCACAGAACGAACCAACAAACACCCAAAACAUAAGGGUGAGAAUGAUAAACCAGGUAUUCAAACCCACAUACCCAGGCCAUUGAGCGCCUUCAGAGACUGUGUUAGCCCGCUGAGUUAAAGACAAGGCAUUACCCUAGGGUGCUAACGCGAGUCUUCAGAUCUCAGGCAAUGUUAUUCACAGAGACCACAGGCUUACUGGUCAAAGACUCCUUGAG